GACGAACGCUGGCGGCGUGCCUAAUACAUGCAAGUCGAACGCAGUGGGGACGGGUGAGUAACACGUGGGUAACCUCCCAUCAGAGGGGAUAACACUUGGAAACAGGUGCUAAACCGAUACUGAUGGAUGGACCCGCGGUGCAUUAGCUAGUUGGUGAGGUAACGGCUCACCAAGGCCACGAUGCAUAGCCGGCCCGAGAGGAUGAUUCGACAAACUGGGACUGGGACACGGCCCAGACUCCUGAGGGAGGCAGCAGUAGGGAAGCUUCGGCAAUGGACGAAAGUCUGGCCGGACAACGCCGCGGAGGUGAAAAAGGUUUUCGGAUCGUAAAACUCUGUUGUUAGAGAAGCGGGAUCUAACCAGAAAGCCACGGCUAACUACGUGCCAGCAGCCGCGGUAAUUC
rnacentral:rRNA from 1 species